rnacentral:rRNA from 1 species
UGGGGAAUAUUGGACAAUGGGGGAAACCCUGAUCCAGCCAUGCCGCGUGAGUGAUGAAGGCCUUAGGGUUGUAAAGCUCUUUUACCAGGGAAGAUGAUGACGGUACCUGGAGAAUAAGCACUGGCUAACUUCGUGCCAGCAGCCGCGGUAAUACGAAGGGUGCUAGCGUUGUUCGGAUUCACUGGGCGUAAAGCGCGCGUAGGCGGCUUUGCAAGUCAGGGGUGAAAUGCCAAGGCUUAACCUUGGAACUGCCUUUGAAACUGCAAAGCUAGAGUGUCGGAGGGGAUAGCGGAAUUCCUAAUGUAGAGGUGAAAUUCGUAGAUAUUAGGAGGAACACCGGUGGCGAAGGCGGCUAUCUGGACGACAACUGACGCUUAGGCGCGAAAGCGCGGGGAUCAAACAG